rnacentral:rRNA from 1 species
UACGUAGGGGGCAAGCGUUUGUCCGGAAUUAUUGGGCGUAAAGCGCGCGCAGGCGGUUCUUUAAGUCUGGUGUCUAAGUGCGGGGCUCAACCCCGUGAUGCACUGGAAACUGGGGAACUUGAGUGCAGAAGAGGAGAGCGGAAUUCCACGUGUAGCGGUGAAAUGCGUAGAUAUUGGGAAGAACACCGGUGGCGAAGGCGGCGACCUGGUCCGAUACUGACGCUGAGGCGCGAAAGCGUGGGGAGCAAACAGG